AGACACAGCCUGAGACCACUCUGGAGAGGGGAGAGUUAAUGGUCAGGGAUCAUGAGUUGGAGGCAGCAUCGUAAUGACAGGAUGCCACCAAGUGUUAAGUUGGUGUUCAUUGUUGGGGCUGGAGGAAGCUGGUCUGCAUUCCAUUCAGAGGGAUUUGGAUCACUCCAUGGAGAUGAGGGUGUGGCCUGGAUUAUUCCAAUGGGGCAGGGAUGGACAGGGAGGCUCCAUGAAGAGUAGUGAAAGGGGGUAUUGUGCUAUUUGAGGGAGAUGGAGGAACUGAUGUGCUAAAGAGAUGGAGGUGGAGAGUACUGGAUUUUCCCACCUGCCUGGGAGGGUACUGGGACGAGGGGAUCCAGAUGAGAGGGAUGGCCUGUGGUGACAGGAAUAGAGUGGCAGACGACCUCAGGUUUUCACCAUGUUGUCAGCCUCCAACUCCUCCUCUAGAAUUUUCUAACAGAUUUACACUCAGAGCCUGGUCGCCCCCCGUUAGCCCAGAUUCAAAAGGUGAACAUCUGUUUGCAGAAUCUGAUUCAUGAGAAGUUCUCCCCAAGUCCACUGAAC
rnacentral:lncRNA from 1 species